rnacentral:lncRNA from 1 species
UUAAUCUCUCUCCAUUAAGCAUUUCCCGUUGAUCUUCCAAAGCCCGUAAUACGGAAAUUAUAUGUUAUUUUAGCCAAUGUUUGAAAAUCCGGUUCAGCGAGCUCAACCAUGAGGAACUCGUACGUCCGAGUCAAAUGAACUGAUUGGCGAGUUAGAUUCAUCACGAUUGACUCGGACAACAAAAAACCAAACAAGUAAUAAGAUGAUAAAAAUCAAAACCUAGAAUUGGAUUUAUCUUGGAGAAGCU